CCCUUAGAUGUUCUGGGCCGCACGCGUGCUACACUGAGUGGAUCAGCGGGUCAGGUUGCGCGAAAGCGUUUCCUAAUCUUUAAAUCCGCUCGUGAUGGGGAUUGACGGUUGCAAUUUUCUGUCAUGCACGAGGAAUACCUUGUAAGCGCGGGUCAUCAUCCCGCGCUGAAUACGUCCCUGCCCUUUGUACACACCGCCCGUCGCUCCUACCGAUUGAGUGGUCCGGUGAGGCUUUGGGAUCUGAGCGGAAAGAGCGUUUCGCUGUUUCUGCUCGGAAAACUCAGUCGAACCUUAUCAUUUAGAGGAAGGAGAAGUCGUAACA
rnacentral:rRNA from 1 species